rnacentral:misc_RNA from 1 species
GUUAACACAAGUGAUAACACACCAGUAAGAGAGGGAAGGCUCUUUCUUCUUGACUGCUUUAAUAUAACCUUAUUUUAUAUGGCCUAAGUGCUGUCAAUAACUGAAUAUCCUCUGACAGUCUCAGAUAACAAGAAAUGAGUCAGGUGAUUCAAGCUCAAAUAAUCCCUGUUCCUUAUCUCAUGGUCUCUUCACCACCGGAACAGUGUUCAGUGUGGGGCUCGGCUGUUGCAGUCAAGUACAACAACUAGUGUGUUGUCGUGUCGCCUGCGUGUGGUUCUCUUGGUACGAGAUAAUACAAGGUGACUGCAAAUGUAUACAAUGCCUACCAUGUUGGUGGCUAACCCUAGCAGAUGUGAUAGUGAGUGACAUUGGUACAGUUGGCUGCUAAUGCCAGGAUGUGACAAAGGGGACUCCAGUUCAACAAUACCUGGAUAUAAUGUACUAAAGACUUUUGAAUGCGACCUUGCUGCCAUUACACAAAAACUCAAAAUUGUGCAACUUUACAGUGUGCCAGAAACCUUUGUAACCAUACUGCGUUUUCAGGAAAGUUUGUUUAAAGGAACGCCAUAUUUGACGAAAGAAUUUUAAGGUGAAUAUCAGUGGUGGUAUUGAUGCAGCCUGCUCUCAUGAUAUGCUACUCUGUAAAAGAAAUAUCCAACCUUGUAACCUAACAAGGAACAUAUGAACUGAAGCAACCCAUCUAACCUAUAGAGUCAGAUGCAUAGAAAACAUAUAUUUGUGAGCCAUUACUUGUAAUUAUAGGUUGCAUUUGUAAUGUUAUCAUAACUUAAAAAAAUGUGACCUAUUAGUUGAGAGGACAAGUUGGAUCAUGAGCAUGAAGCAGUGUUGGUGAGGAUGAGUGUAUCCAGGGAGGGCAAGAUUUGCCCCGAGAGUUGUAAUGGGCAGGUGAAGGUGGACACGCAUGAAGAGUCACUCAUACCACCGAUACCUGACACGACUGUCACACCUCUCAGACCAAGACCACGCUCGGCUCUUUUUUUAAGUUGUGUUGCUCCAGAUGACCCCAACGGGCUCGCAACCCAAAAGCGGAAGUCCGCUGAAUUUAUCCAUACAUCUAGAAACAGCCAAGUUGUUGAGCCUAUAUCACGCAAAGAGUCUAGUCUUGUAAAGGUGAGACGAGAAAGAUGGCGAAGUCUCUCAAAGUCAUUGAUGUCGGUGAGGAAACUGAAACUAUCAGGGAACAACAAUACAGGUGAUGGUGGAGUGUGGAAGGAGAGGAGUGAUGCAGGGGACUCUUGUAAUAGUCCCAAGACGGUGAACUGUGAGGCCACCCAAACCUCCACCAUACAUUCCUGCCCAUCAUGCACCCAUGAAGAUCCCAGUUCGACUCCUGCCACACCACUUGCCACCUUACCACCAUCUGCCCUUGACCUGACGAACAUAUGUGGUGGUAGUGCAGAUGGGGAGGCUGGGUGCCCAGAGAAUAGUGUCGGCUCCAGCCUAGAUCUGGAGACAGCAGCCGAGGGAGGUGUGCAGCAGCCACAAGGAAAGAUGCCCACACCUCGUCGCCAUCAUCCCCAGUUAGGCCGACCUCAGAGGCCCAGCAGCUGUACCAACCUCGACUUCAAGUUAGCCAGAAGGCCAAGUGUUAAGAGUGGCCUUGUUGGUAUGAGGACACGUGCAGUGCCCGUGACAGGAGAGGAGUGUCCGAGUGUAAGACACCGUCCAUCCUCUUGGGCAGGCCCUGGGGAAAACCCUUCCAUGUCCAUGCCAGCACAGAAAUACUGGUCACCCAUCCAACCCCAUAACAAAAAUGUUCUCUUCCACUCAUUCACCAACAUCUUCCGCUUCCAGCCCAGCAAUCUUCACGGCCCUUAUGAUGAUACUGGGAGCAUCUACCGGAGAGGAGCGAGAAGAUGGCGCAAGCUCUACAAGGUCAACGGCCACAUCUUCCAGGCCAAGCGCUUCAACAGGCGGGCCUUUUGCGAAUUCUGCAAGGAUCGCAUAUGGGGACUGGGACGCCAAGGUUUCAAGUGCACACAGUGCAAACUCCUUGUUCACAAAAAGUGCCAUAAGCUCCAAAAAGUACCCUGCAAUGCAGAUUUGGACACUUCGACCGAUACCCUGGCAUCCCACGAGAACUCGACACUCCCCAGGCCAGGUACCAAUGGGAAGAGGGUUAUACCGGAAUUUCCUGGAGAGAUCUCGGAUCCUGGUAUACAUGAAGAAACACCGGUUGAGAUGCCAGCCACCACAGGGAAAAGUAGUGAACCUAUGUCCCCUGCUGGCCAGGCAGGACAGUACUGCUUGGAAGACUUUGAGCUCAUACGUGUUAUUGGCCGAGGAUCAUAUGCUAAGGUUUUAAUGGUCGAACUCAAGAAAACGAAAAGGAUUUAUGCCAUGAAGGUCAUAAAGAAAACUCUCGUCACCGAUGAUGAGGAUAUAGAUUGGGUGCAAACAGAGAAGCAUGUGUUUGAGACGGCAUCCAACCAUCCAUUCUUGGUGGGUCUUCACUCUUGUUUCCAAACUCCGUCCCGACUUUUCUUCGUCAUUGAAUUUGUCCGAGGAGGUGAUUUGAUGUUCCACAUGCAACGGCAACGUCGUUUACCAGAGGAACAUGCCCGAUUUUAUGCUGCCGAGAUAUGUUUGGCACUUAAUUUUCUUCAUGAGAAAGGUAUAAUCUAUCGGGAUCUAAAGUUGGAUAACGUCUUACUCGAUCAUGAAGGGCACAUUAAACUUACCGAUUACGGUAUGUGCAAAGAAGGUAUCCGUCCAGGAGACACCACCUCUACCUUCUGCGGCACGCCAAACUACAUUGCACCAGAGAUUUUACAAGGUGUAGAAUAUAGCUUUAGUGUUGACUGGUGGGCAUUAGGAGUUCUACUUUACGAAAUGCUAGCGGGCAAGAGUCCCUUUGAUAUUGUGGGAGCAACUGACAACCCUGAUUGUAACACUGAAGACUUUCUCUUCCAAGUGAUCUUGGAGCGUACUAUCCGUGUUCCUCGAUCAUUGUCCGUUAAAGCUGCCUCGAUACUUAAGGGCUUCCUCAAUAAAAACCCAGUGGAUCGACUAGGAUGUCACCCAGAAACUGGCUUCACAGAUAUUGUUUCACAUCCAUUCUUCAAGACUAUAAUCUGGGAGAUGCUGGACAGAAAACAGAUCCUGCCACCAUUCAAGCCACGUGUAGAUGGAGAGAGAGAUCUCGAAAACUUUGAUCCUCAGUUUACAGCUGAACCUGUACAGUUUACUGCAGAUGAUCAUUGGAGCAGCGUCAGGUUCCCCCGCCAUAUCGCCCCAGGCUAGACUCUGAGCGUGAUCUGGCAAACUUCCCACCAGAAUUUACAGAUGAGCCUAUUCAACUAACCCCUGAUGAUGCACGUGCCAUUGAGAACAUCGACCAGAGUGAAUUUGAGGGUUUCGAGUAUGUGAACCCCUUGUUGAUGAGCAUGGAGGACUGCGUGUAGGCGAGAGAUCAACUUUUACUUCAGCGGCCGGCCACUUACUCCCUCGCUGUCUUCCCUACCACACUCAUUCUCCUCAACUUAUUAUGCACAGCCACCUCAUCCUCCCACCUUUUGUGUGGCCAUGCUCAUCCUCUUGUGACUGCUCAGUGAAAUGUUGCCAUGCCUAUUCACAGUUCUGUGAAUAUGAUUAUCUCUGGCAAACUCAUUUUAAUGCAGCUAGACUUUUCAUUGUGCAGCCAGACUCCUCACCGUGCAGCCCGACUGACUCCUCACCGUGCAGCCCGACUGACUCCUCACCGUGCAGCCCGACUGACUCCUCACCGUGCAGCCCGACUGACUCCUCACCGUGCAGCCCGACUGACUCCUCACCGUGCAGCCCGACUGACUCCUCACCGUGCAGCCCGACUGACUCCUCACCGUGCAGCCCGACUGACUCCUCACCGUGCCGCCCGACUGACUCCUCACCGUGCCGCCCGACUGACUCCUCACCGUGCCGCCCGACUGACUCCUCACCGUGCCGCCCGACUGACUCCUCACCGUGCCGCCCGACUGACUCCUCACCGUGCCGCCCGACUGACUCCUCACCGUGCCGCCCGACUGACUCCUCACCGUGCAGCCCGACUGACUCCUCACCGUGCAGCCCGACUGACUCCUCACCGUGCAGCCCGACUGACUCCUCACCGUGCAGCCCGACUGACUCCUCACCGUGCAGCCCGACUGACUCCUCACCGUGCAGCCCGACUGACUCCUCACCGUGCAGCCCGACUGACUCCUCACCGUGCCGCCAGGGUCUUCCACACUCGCCUGGUCUUGUUGACCCAUGAAACAUCACCUGACCCACUGACCUACGUGCCCCAUCCUGACUGCUUUGGAUAUGGCAACUGUGAUCUCCACACUCGUGAGAUGUUAAGUUACUCCCGUAGCGGUAUUUGUGUAUUGUAUUGAGCACGUUGUUUGAUAGGGCUCUGUAGGGUGAGUAAAAUUGUAAUUAAAGUGUAAGGGUUCAGCGAAGUUAGUUGAAGGCAUUGUGUUAAGCAAGAUGGAGAAUGUGAGGUUGAGCACAGGGUAGCUACAGUGACUGCUGGCUGUGUGGAAGGUGUGUACUGGUGCUGUACACGUUGCAUCUGCUACCCCUCACUCCCUGGGACUCUGCUCAACUGAGAGCUGUUAUUUUAUUUGUAAUGAGGAUAUGUUUAAUUACUGUUGCCUCCUUAA